rnacentral:rRNA from 1 species
AUCGAACGCUGGCGGCAGGCCUAACACAUGCCAGUCGAGCGAGCGGCGGACGGGUGAGUAAUGUCUGGGAAACUGCCUGAUGGAGGGGGAUAACUACUGGAAACUGUAGCUAAUACCGCAUACCAUCAGAUGUGCCCAGAUGGGUUUAGCUAGUGGGUGGGGUAAUGGCUCACCUAGGCGACGAUCCCUAGCCGGUCUGAGGGGAUGACCAGCCACACUGGAACUGGGACACGGUCCAGACUCCUACGGGGGGCAGCAGUGGGGAAUAUUGCACAAUGGGCGCAAGCCUGAUGCAGCCAUGCCGCGUGGGUGAGGAAGGCCUUCGGGUUGUAAAGCACUUUCAGCGAGGAGGCGUUACUCGCAGAAGAAGCACCGGCUAACUCCGUGCCAGCCGCCGCGGUAAUAC